rnacentral:rRNA from 1 species
CCUACGGGUGGCAGCAGUGGGGAAUAUUGGGCAAUGGGCGCAAGCCUGACCCAGCAACGCCGCGUGAAGGAAGAAGGCUUUCGGGUUGUAAACUUCUUUUCUGAGGGACGAAGAAAGUGACGGUACCACAAGAAUAAGCCACGGCUAACUAAGUGCCAGCAGCCGCGGUACUACGGAGGUGGCAAGCGUUAUCCGGAUUUAUUGGGUGUAAAGGGCGUGUAGGCGGGUAAGAAAGUCAGAUGUGAAAACUCAGGGCUCAACCCUGAGCCUGCAUUUGAAACUGUUUUUCUUGAGUGCUGGAGAGGCAAUCGGAAUUCCGUGUGUAGCGGUGAAAUGCGGAGAUAUACGGAGGAACACCAGUGGCGAAGGCGGAUUGCUGGACAGUAACUGACGCUGAGGCGCGAAAGCGUGGGGAGCAAACAGGAUUAGAUACCCGAGUAGUC